rnacentral:lncRNA from 1 species
AAAGCUGAAUACUACAGACCAAGGUCCCAGUGAUAACAGGUUCACAACAGUGCUCACAACCCACACAGAUUUAGAGCUAGUCGAAUAACAGAAUGACAGCUGAUCAUGAACUUUCCCCUUUCAUUUAUGGACUGCUAAGUCUUUUUUGGGAAUGUUGUCUUACAAGAAAAUAACAAGAUUUUAAUGAAUUAUUUUUAAUAAUAAAAAAAAAAUCCACAUGGAAUAUAAUCUCAGUGUCAUUUUUAACUUAUAAAGUAGCUUUUAUUUGCUGGACCACACAGUCUUUUGUUAACAUCCAUGAAAAUUAAAAAAUGUCAUAUUAGUCACUGGAGACCUCCGAUUUUAUUUCCCAUCUACACUAGAAACAAAUACAGAAUUACAAAGGGAAGCAUUAAUUAAAAAUUGACAUGAAGGGCUGCAAGGACUGAUGCAAAGUGCAUUUCCUCAUAUGCAUCAAAAGCUAACAAUAUAAAAAAUUCCAUACCAUUCAUGCUUAAUAUACUGUGGAUUGAUUUUUCAAAAAGAACAACAUAUUUUACACUAGAGCUAAGAUUGUAUUCAUACAUAAUAAACUGUUUGAAAGCAUUAGAUCAGUGCAGAUGAGCAGAAACAGUGGCAUUGUAGCAGUUUAUAUUAUGGUACAGUGGAGUCCCUGCCAUGUUUAGAUGACAACAGAUAGGUAAGGAACAUGGUCCUCCCUUUCUGAUCAUGUGUGAUUUAAUUGACAUAGAAGAAAUAAAGCCAAUGAACUCUGCCGAGGGUAUGAACUCACAUAGGCAGCACAAAUGACCAAGAAGGGAGCUGAUUCCAUGCCACGGCUAAGCCAAGGGAGUUCAUGUCUGUAUGAAGGACUUCAUGACUUUCUUUGAGGGCCAUUUGUGAGACAGAAAAAGAAAUGAAAGCUCAGGUUGGUCAUUUUUCCUCCUCCCUCUUCCUUUCCCUGCUCUUGCUUUUUCUGUGUUCCUGGGGUUUAUCUGCUGAGGUUCCUGGCACUGUAUGCACAAUGAUUUCACUGAGGCUUGCAUUGCUUUCAUAUUCUCUGAUCACUAAAACCAAACUUAACCAAACAAGACUCUGAGGAAUAUCCAGCAUGUCUGGAAAAGCCAACAGGGCUGUUAAAGAUUAAUAUAUAGACUAUGCAUUGCAUGAAUGAGAGGUAAUUUAGAAAAACCUCAUAUCUUUAUAAGCAAAAGUGGCUUGUUUUCCCUGCAGUGGCAUGCUUUUGAGCCUCUUUCUUGUCUUUCAAUUAUAUGCCUGUCAAAGGUAGAGUCAGAAGGUCACAACCACUUUACUCUCCUCACUAUAUAAAACAGCCAACCAAAACUACCACUUCUUAGUGCUUUUCAAUUAUUUAUGACCCCAAACCUAGUUGAACAAAUACACUUCUAAGCCUGAAUCCGAAAACUUAAAGGAGAGAAAAAUGGCAUCACAAAUCAAUAGAAGUGGGCCACACCAGACUGGGGAAUACAGGCUCCCUUAAAUAGUGAGAAAUCCUCCUGGCAUGCUUUUGUUGAACCACAAGUCAUGAGGGGUGUAAGGCAUUUGGCUCUCUUUACAUUGUCAGUCCUCCCUGUGUAGUCCUGUGCAGUCCCAAAAUGCUCUUCCUUGUAGCCCACAACAAGCCCUAUACCUCUGGGCAGUACCCCCAGUCUUUGGGGUGACUCAGAGAGCACCCUCACUCACUUUGGGUGCUGGGUGUCCCCUGGCCUGUGGGGCUGGGCCUGUGCUGGGACAGCCCUGGGGGCAGGAGAGGGGAUCCCAUCUCUGACUAGGGCAUUGGGGUCCCUCUACCAUCAUGCCUUUGGGGUUGUAGGGAUGAGCCUUUCAUGGACUCAUGGUCCCUGUGAGGUCCCAGGAGUUGCUGGGCAGAGGGGUUUGUGGUGGUCUUUGAAGGUGUAUGUGCAGCUUUUGUCACGUAACACAACACUCCAUACCUUCCCCACCUGCCCCAAUCCAAGAGCACACUAGGUGACUUGGCUCAGAGGGACACCCAGUUGGAUCUCACAUGGUUAUUGUGGCUAUAUGCCACAGGGAAUUCUUCAGCAAAGAGCUCUCAUUGGAGGUCAGUUGUAAAAAGCUCUGUAUUGACAAGGAACACACUGAAAAUUAACCAGAGAAGACAUUCUUACGUACCUCUCAUUGAUGCAAUGAAUAUUUAAAGCAGAAUGAAAUUCCUUCAGUAGAAGGAAGAGGGUGUCUGUCAGGUUCUGUGAAGCUUUCCAGGACAGAACAGGUUGUAGCUACAAUCCUGAACAACAAAACAGAGUAGAAGGGCUAUUAACCAAUGCAGCAAGUGUUUUGGACACAGGAAUUCAGGUAAAAAAUGGAACAGCUCUAUCCCUCUUUUCCUGGGAAAGCACUCACUCCUCCUUCACUUUGCCAGGAGGACCUGCCUCCAAAACCCAAAACUGAACUGUGCAAUCCAGCUAAGAAGAGGUACCUUCACCCCCACACCUGCCUGUGAACCACUGCAGAGAUAAGCAGAUAUUCCCAGGGUGGUAUCGGCAUGGAGAGUUGGGGAGUCCCCACCUGCCUUCACAGGGCACAGACCAAAUCUGGACCUGGUCCAGCAGAAAAAGGCACAGAGUUUGAAGCGAUGGUGGACUUUCUGACAACACUGCAGAGGCGAAAAGCUCUUUGCUUGAUGUGCCCAGGAGGUAUCCACAGACCCUGGUUAGGCAGCACAGGCCCCAGGAUGGGGUAUACUGUCCCAACUGAAAAACUCUGGGGCACAGAGAAGGGGGUUGCAUGCACUC